rnacentral:rRNA from 1 species
GUUGAACGCUGGCGGCAGGCCUAACACAUGCAAGUCGAACGGUAACAGGAAUCAGCUUGCUGAUUCGCUGACGAGUGGCGGACGGGUGAGUAAUGUCUGGGAAACUGCCUGAUGGAGGGGGAUAACUACUGGAAACGGUAGCUAAUACCGCAUAACGUCGCAAGACCAAAGAGGGGGACCUUCGGGCCUCUUGCCAUCGGAUGUGCCCAGAUGGGAUUAGCUAGUAGGUGGGGUAAUGGCUCACCUAGGCGACGAUCCCUAGCUGGUCUGAGAGGAGGACCAGCCACACUGGAACUAAGACACGGUCCAGACUCCUACGGGAGGCAGCAGUGGGGAAUAUUGCACAAUGGGCGCAAGCCUGAUGCAGCCAUGCCGCGUGUAUGAAGAAGGCCUUCGGGUUGUAAAGUACUUUCAGCGAGGAGGAAGGUGUUGAGGUUAAUAACCUUAGCAAUUGACGUUACUCGCAGAAGAAGCACCGGCUAACUCCGUGCCAGCAGCCGCGGUAA